GAUGAACGCUGGCGGCGUGCCCAAUACAUGCAAGUCGAGCGAACGGACGAGAAGCUUGCUUCUCUGAUGUUAGCGGCGGACGGGUGAGUAACACGUGGAUAACCUACCUAUAAGACUGGGAUAACUUCGGGAAACCGGAGCUAAUACCGGAUAAUAUUUUGAACCGCAUGGUUCAAAAGUGAAAGACGGUCUUGCUGUCACUUAUAGAUGGAUCCGCGCUGCAUUAGCUAGUUGGUAAGGUAACGGCUUACCAAGGCAACGAUGCAUAGCCGACCUGAGAGGGUGAUCGGCCACACUGGAACUGAGACACGGUCCAGACUCCUACGGGAGGCAGCAGUAGGGAAUCUUCCGCAAUGGGCGAAAGUCUGACGGAGCAACGCCGCGUGAGUGAUGAAGGUCUUCGGAUCGUAAAACUCUGUUAUUAGGGAAGAACAUAUGUGUAAGUAACUGUGCACAUCUUGACGGUACCUAAUCAGAAAGCCACGGCUAACUACGUG
rnacentral:rRNA from 1 species